rnacentral:tRNA from 1 species
GCCCUUGUCGUCUAGAGGCCAAGGACUUCUCCCUUUCACGGAGGAAACGGGGAUUCAAAUUCCCCCGGGGGUA